rnacentral:rRNA from 1 species
UACGUAGGGUGCGAGCGUUGUCCGGAAUUAUUGGGCGUAAAGGGCUCGUAGGCGGUUUGUCGCGUCGGGAGUGAAAACACUGGGCUUAACUCAGUGCUUGCUUCCGAUACGGGCAGACUAGAGGUAUGCAGGGGAGAACGGAAUUCCUGGUGUAGCGGUGAAAUGCGCAGAUAUCAGGAGGAACACCGGUGGCGAAGGCGGUUCUCUAGUACGGUACUGACGCUGAGACGCGAAAGCUAGGGGAGCAAACGGG